GAAAUAAAUUAAGAAAUGCCUAGCAGAUUAGUAAAGCACAGUUUUGUAUAUGUCUAUAGAAGAUUGAUGUGAAUGCCAGCAAACAGGGAGGGGAUAGAAUCAAAAGGGAAAGAAGAAGGAAGCAUGCUUGUUUUGAAAAAUUCCAGUCUUCCUAAGUGGUUGUAUCUUUUGUUGGCAUUGCCUUUGGACAUCAGUCUCCACAUCUUCAGUUCCUUUGGCCUUCUAUUCAGGCUCACACCAGUGACCCUCCAGUGAGCCUCAGCCUUUGGACUGGUGCUGCUUCCCUGCUCCUUCUGGUUCUACAGCAUCCAUCUUCUCCUUCGACUCUCUAGCACACAGAUGGCCAUUGUGGACUCCACUAUCUCUGAACCCUCAGAAGCUAUUGUGGACUCUCCUGCCUCUGAUCCUGAGGGCUGUUCUCAUGGUUGAGGCUGUUGCUUAUGGAAUUUCAAUUCUUCAUCUGGCCUCUUGGGCUCACUCUGUGCAUGUCAUGCCAUUUGACAUCACUGACAGAGAGUUUCACACAAUGGAUUUCUCUGGUGUUAUUUCCAAGAAAAGCUGAAGGGCAAUCUUCCUUUUAUUCUACAAAACAGGAAAGAGGGAAGUCAACAAGCAUUAACAUAUCCUGCAAACAGAGGCUGAGCGACACACCAGCACAAUCAAAUGCCUAGUUCCCUGGGUGACUUGUACUGUCUUCUGAGGAGUGCAGACUCUUCACCUUCCAGCACAGACCCUUUGGCCUCCUGAUACAGACUCACAUGGGGCACCACCACAUGGAGCUCCAGGCCUUCGAGUUGAUCCUUCAGAUCCCCAGUGCAAAGACCUUUUCCACUCUUCUACACCAGACUCUGUGGGUGGCCAUGGUAAGCUGAUCUUGUAAAUUCUUAUGUAUUUAUAUACCUUGUAUUAUAUAUAUUUCUCUAGUAAACACUGACUGAUACAGAUGGGAAGCAAGAUUUCAAUUUUCC
ensembl:lncRNA